CUCCCGCUAGCUCAAUGGACAGAGCGCCGCCCUCCUAAGGCGGGUGUCCCCGUUCGAGUCGGGGGGCGGGAGACCA
rnacentral:tRNA from 1 species